rnacentral:rRNA from 1 species
UACGUAGGUGGCAAGCGUUAUCCGGAUUUAUUGGGCGUAAAGAGCGUGUAGGCGGUAAAUUAAGUCUGAUGUGAAAGCUAGUGGCUCAACCACAAGAUUGCAUUGGAAACUGAUUAACUAGAAUACUGGAGAGGCAAGUGGAAUUUCAUGUGUAGCGGUGGAAUGCGUAGAUAUAUGAAGGAACACCAAUGGCGAAGGCAGCUUGCUGGACAGAGAUUGACGCUGAGACGCGAAAGCGUGGGUAGCAAACAGG